rnacentral:rRNA from 1 species
GCGUGAGUGAGGAAGGCCUUAGGGUUGUAAAGCUCUUUCGCGCGCGACGAUGAUGACGGUAGCGCGAGAAGAAGCCCCGGCUAACUUCGUGCCAGCAGCCGCGGUAAUACGAAGGGGGCGAGCGUUGUUCGGAUUUACUGGGCGUAAAGGGCGCGCAGGCGGCUUUGUUUGUCAGGCGUGAAAGCCCCGGGCUCAACCUGGGAACUGCGCUUGAGACGGCAAGGCUAGAGAUCGGGAGAGGAGAGUGGAAUUCCCAGUGUAGAGGUGAAAUUCGU